AUCCUCCCAGAUUCCUAGAGCGGUCGGCGGUGAUGGCCGGUUUACAGGGUGUGAGGCUUGACGGUGACUUAGAGAAUACAUCGAGGUAUGGGUGAUGUCGGCUCACGGAAGGCGGAGGAACUCGGGUGAUCUGCCCUCCCCAGCGGCCUUGCAGCGCCACCGGGGAACCGUAUGCUGUUUCUUGAGUCCGUGGGGAGUCGAGGCUGCCGACGUGGCCCCCAGGCGCGGCUCCUGGGCACUGCGAGCUGGUCGGUUCUCGGCCUGGUGUGCUUUUGAGGAUGCUCCUGGUGGUCUAGUCUCAGAACUUAUAUCUCCAGUCUCCGCAAUGAUUCCCUUCCAAGUCCAGUGGUGCCCAGUUGCCUCCAGGUCUCAGACUCCUACGUGGACAAGAAAAGCUUAGUGAGGAAAUGGUAAAUCUCCAGUUGCUCCCUGAGGUGUCAAGUGUCCAGUGGCAGUCUAUGGAGAUCCAAUUCAAUUAUGAAGCUCAAGAACACUACCUUCUGUCAGGUUACUUCCGUGAACCAUUGACUGGGCCUAUUAGACAUGAGAGAACUACGAGGCACCCCCACUGAGUCCUCUGAGUUCCAGUAGCAGCAACCAUUUCCCCACUGGUGAUUGGUAUCAGUCAUUCUGGCCGGUAGAGGGACCCCAUCUCUGCGGGCUGGUUUGGCAGUUUGAGGAGCCCAAAAUGCUGAAGCAGGAAGCAGUCUCAACUUCAAAUUUAACAAAAUUAUGACUUUGUCCCAUGGUAGAAGUAUUUUUCCUUUGAGAAUCAGAACCCUGAACCCACCAAGCCCAAGAUCAUAGGGAUAGGAAGCAAAAAUAAUAUAAGUGGAUUAUGAGGUAUAUAGUAAGAAGAGACAUUAUUACUUUCUCUACCACCGUUCGUUCCUAUACCCAUGUAUUAUGGCCAUGGGGGAGACAACACUGUUUAUCACCCUUUAGUUUAAUGCGUAUAUUGCAUCCUGUAUGACAGCACCCCAAACUUACCAAGGUGUUGUUGUCUAGCUUGUACUGUAACUGAGCCUACAUUUAAUCAUUCCACCAUUAUCACAAUCCACUUACUUCUGGAUGAUGGGACAUGUGGUAAGACCCAUGAAUUAUAUGUGUAUUAGAUCAUUGCUUAACUUCCUUCCCUGUAAAAUGACUCCUUUGGAGGUAAUAUUAUAGAGAGUACCAUGAUAAUAUAUACGGCAUUCUCUUAAGUCAAUGCAAAUUUGUAUCUAGACUAUGUAUUUAGUCCUUUGAAGUUGCUGCCCUUUCCAUAAUAAAAGGGGUCAGAUGUAAUAAAUCUGUCCCCAAGUGGCUAGCUGUUUCCUCUCUAGGGAAUGGUACCUUAUUAGGGCCUUAGCAGUUGGCUACUUGGGCACAUAGCAAUGAUUAUAGGCAUGUCAAUCUUAAUAAGUGGAGGUCCGUAUUGUUGAGCCCAUAUAUAGCCACCAUCCCUGCUGCCAUGACCUCUUUGUACAUGAGUCCAUUGGGCAAACAUUGGUAAAAAGGCUGAUUGACAUUCAUAAUAUGGAUCACCAAGUCCAUCCUUCUGAUUGAGAGGCUUCUCCACAGUGGAUGCCCUUUGGUGAGGAUUCACAUGGGCCACAAACAUAGUCAUUCUUUGGUUUAUCCUCAUACUUUUCCUCCAGAAUUCUUAUUUCUUGUCUUCCAAUCUUGUUCUUUCCAGGUACCUAACUAAUCAAAUAACCCAUUAGUCACUAUCCAUGGAUCAGUAUAUACAUGUGUCUUAGGCUAUAUUGCCUUCCAUGGAAAGUAGACCACCAGGUGUAUACCUGAAAUUCUGCCCACUGGAAGGAUUUGCCUUUACCAGCAUGUUUAAGGCCACCCCUGAGUAGGGGUGUAAGUGAAAGGUACUCACUUUCAGGUGGUGCCCACACACUGGGCAGGCCCAUCUACAAACCAGUUCUGUACAUUUUCCUCCUCUGUUAACUGGUAAUAGGGAAUUCCCAUAGGGCCAUGAAUAUAGGUUGAGGGGGAGAGGUAGUGGAGCAGUAGGAACAAGUACCAUGGGAAUCUGAGUCACUAGCACAUGGAAUAUACUUGUCUUCCAGAUAUGCUUUUAUAAUGGAAUACUGGUUUGUAUGUUCAGUUUUAUGAAUUGAUGGGUCAAAUAACAACUAAUACAUAGUGGUCAGUUUGCAAUAGUUAUUUGGUGCCCUGUGGUCAAGCAUUAAGUUUCUGUUAGUGCCCAAAAGCAAGCCAGGAUCUGCUUUUCACUUAGAAAAUUGUUGGCAGAAGACAGUAUGGCCUUACUCCAGUGUGGUUCUCUUAUAGAGGCUUGCAAGAGGCUUCAUACAGCAACCAGGACUGCUGCAGACACUUCCAAUACCAUUGGUUAUCCUGGUUAAUGAGGGUCAUGUGACAGGACAGCUUGCAUUGCAACAUGGUCCUACUGCAGAACGUUUUUUUACUCUAAGCCUCACUCAAAAGUAGCAACUGUGCAAGUUACUCAAAUUGGUCAUUUCAGCACAUUUAGUAUGGUAUCUGUUGCCUCAAAAAUGCAGGGCCCACCAACAUUGUGCCUUUCUGAGGUGGUAACAGUUGGUUAGAGAGAUAACCAAAGUGAAAGCAUAAGCCAUGUAACCAUCUGAGAGAAGAGUCUUCCAGGUGGAGGGAAUAGCAAAAGUCAGAGGCCCAUAGAUAUAGCAGGAACAGAGUAAUAAGCCUGGGGUAGACAUGUGAUAGGGGUGGUUUAGAAUGAAAUGAGGGCAGAGAGAAAGAAAGGGACCAGAUCAUAUGGAACCUUCUAAGUCACGGUAAGGACUUAGAAUUUAUUCCCAGUGAAAUGGGAAACCAUUGGAACUCUUUACAUAGGAUAACAUGUAAAGAUCACUCUGACUGUUGUAUGGAGAGCAGGAGAAAGGUAAGUUAGCAAGAAGAAAGCAAAUGAUUUAAGAGAGUAGUCAACUAUGUCAAACAAAUCAAGAAUAGAUUGAAAAUUGACCACUGGAUUUGUCAAGAUAAAGCAUAUUAGGGACUUUAAUAAGUGCAGUUUUGAUGGAGUUAUGGAGAUAAAAGCCUGAUUGCAUUGGGUUAAAAAGAGAAUAGACUUCUUUUGGUUAGAAUAUAGUGCAAUGUGAACUAUAUACACCUGAUGGAAGUGUGAAUUGGCUUAACCACUUUGGAAAAGUCUAGUUGAAGACCUAACAGUUCUGAUCCUAAAUUUAUAUAACCUAGAGAAACAUUUGGAUAUGUGUAUCAAGAUAGACGUACCAGCAUAUUCAUAUCAGCAUUGUUUGAAAUAGCAAAAUGUUCUUAUCCAUUGAAGAAGAAUGGAUAAAUCACUUCUGGUGUAUGUCACACUAUAAUAGUGAACAUGAAUGGACUACAGCUACACACAUGACUGUGGAUGAAUCUUCCAAACAUAAUGUUGAGUAAAAAAACAAGUCACAGAAUACGUGUGGUAUGAUUCCAUAAAUGUAUAAAGUUAAAAAACAUGCUGUAUUUGCCUGCUAGGGCUAUAACAAAACCACAGACUAGGUGGCUUAAACAACACAAAUUUGUUUUCUCAGUUCUAUGCAUUAAUUUUAGCCAUCUAUGCUUUGAUUUCUUCUAGAAGUAUUAUAGUUUUAGCUUUUAUAUUUAGGUUUAUAUUACAUUUCUAGUUAAUUUUUGUGUAUAGCAUAAGGAAAGAGUCAGAGUUAAUUUUUGUUAUUAUGAUAUCCAGUUGUAACACUUUUUUUGAAAAGAGACUACCCUUUCACCCUUGAAUUAUAUGGGCAACUUUGUUGAAGGUCAGUUGUACAUAUAUGUUUGGAUCUAUUUAUAGACUCUGUUCUAUUCCAUUAAUGGAUAUGUCUAUCCUAUGCCAGUACCUCGCGGCCUUGAUUACUGUAGCUUUGUAGUAAAGCUUGAAAUCAGGGAGUAUAAGCUCUCUAAUUUUGUUCUUCUUUUUCAAAAUUGUUUAGACCCUUCUCUGCCUUUCUACACAAAGUUUAGAAUCGGUUUGUCAGUUUCUAUGAAGAGCCCUGCUGAGAUUUUGAUUGGGGUUGCAUUGAAUCCAUAGAUCAAUUUGGGGAGAAUUUCAUCACUUUAACAAUAUUAAAUCUUCCUAUACGUAAAUGAUGGCAUAUAUUUCUAUUUAUUAGAUCUUUAAUUUCUCUCAGCAACAUUUUGUAGUUUUCAUUAUGCAGAUACUGCACAUAUUUCAUUGAAUUUGUUUCUAAUUAUUUCAUUUUUUUGGUGCAAUUGAAAAAAAUUGUUUUUAAUUUUAGGUUCUAAUUGUUCAUUGCUAGUAUACAGAAAUACAAUCAGGUUUUGUGUAUUGCACUAAUAAAACCAUUUACAAGUUCUAAUAACUUUUUAAAGACACUUUAGUAUUUUCUGUAUACGUGACUGCAUAGUCUAUAAGACAGUUUGACUUCUUGUAUGCCUCAUUUAUUUUUCAUGUCGUAUUGCAUUUACUAUGAAUAUUGAGUAAAAGUUGUACAAUAUUGAAUAAAAGUAGUUAAGAGAGGGCAUCCUUAUUUUCCUCCCUUGUUCCUAGGACAAAAGCAUUUAAUGUUUAACCAUUAAGUAUGAUGUUAGCUGUUGGUCUUUCUUUGCUUUUUAUUGAAGUAGUUAAUUUACAUGUAACAUAGUUGAUGUUUGGAUUUAAAUGUACCAUCUUAUUUUUUGUUAUUUUCCCAUAUUUUGUUUCUUUUUUGUUUUUCUUUUUUCUCCCUUUGUGCCUAAUUUAAUUAUGUUAUCAAGUUUUUUAUUUUUCUGUUUUUUUCUCUAUUAGCUUAUUGUUUGUACAUCCUUUUAUUGUUAUUUAAUUGUCACCUAAUAGCAGCCUUUCUCAAAUGUGAUUCUGUGAGAGAAUUAAGCCAAAAUGCUCUGAGGCAUCCACUGUAAGUUACAUAUUAAUGUUUCUUCUGUACAUCUAUUGAUUUACUUGCUAUCUACCAUCUUUGGGAGAAUGAAGAAAAUAGGCAAAUUAUUUUCUUUUUAUUUUUUUGUGGAACCCUAGUUGAAAAAGGCUGCCUUAGAAGUUACAACAUACACAUUUGAUUUAUUACAGUUUAUCUUAAUUUAUUAUUUCUAGGAUAACCCAAAGACCUUGUAAUAUUAUAGUUCUAUUUACCUCCCUCCUCUUGUGCUAUUUUUGCCAUAUAUUUUAACUCUACAUAUAUAUUGUAAAAUCCGUGAGACUUUCAUAUUGCUUAUAUCAUUCAGUACAUACACAUUUAGAUUUACCGCAAUACUUUACUUUUUCCAGUACCCUUUGCCUUUGGCAAAGAGGAUAAGCCUCCACUUGGAGGCUUGGGAUUUUGGACUUUAGCCCUUGAAAUUAAUCUUUGUCAUGUUUUCAGCUCUCUAGACCGUUUGCAGUCUGAGAAUGGUGUGCCUUUUAUAGUAAACACCACUUAAUAAUGGACUGAUAGUCUCAAGAAUUUCAAUGGAGCUCCCAUGUUCUCUACCAUUACAGGCCUCUGGUAUUGUUGAGCAGAGGAAUAAUCUCCUCAAAAAUCAACUCAAAAGAGAUUUCUGAUCCUACCUCCCUAACCUUUUUCUGGUCCACAUACCUUAGUAAGGAAGUUUGGUCACUGAAUAUGGCUGUUCCCAAAAGGAUCAUGUUUUCUAGGCCACUUCUUUCUAAUAAUCAGGGCAAAAGAGGUGGAGGACUAUGUAGACCUCUUUUUGAAAAUUCAGGCUUCUUUUCUAACCAUUCCUGAGCUUGAUGCUUCUUUCUUUCCACUAAUGACAACAUGUGACCAGCCUGGUUGGUAUACACUCACAGUGACAGCCUGGCUGCCACUGCCUCCUCCUCCUCUCCCUCCCUUUCACCUCCUCCCCCACUCCUUCACCCAAGUAUUCAUUCAUACUGCCUACUUUAUAUAUGUCAGUAAGUUGUUUAUGUAUUAGCUCUAAUAUAGUCAAACUUUCCUAAUCACUGUAAUUAUGUUUCAGUAUUCCUAGAUCUCCUGUGACAGACAUAUACAGAACAUAUCUGAUAAGCCACUUCAAUAAACGAUUAUCCAUUACUUGUUGAUUCUUCUUAGUUUCCCUCUUAGAAGAUAAUUUUCAGUAUUUUCAUAGGAAAAUACUAAUAUAUUUCACCUGAAACUUUCUUACAGUAUGGAGAACAUAUUCCAUUUAUAUUUUAUUG